rnacentral:rRNA from 1 species
UACAGAGGUGGCAAGCGUUGUUCGGAAUUAUUGGGCGUAAAGAGCGUGUAGGCGGCCAAGCAGGUCCGCUGUGAAAACUCGAGGCUCAACCUCGAGACGUCGGUGGAAACCGUUUGGCUAGAGUCCGGAAGAGGAGAGUGGAAUUCCCGGUGUAGCGGUGAAAUGCGCAGAUAUCGGGAAGAACACCCGUGGCGAAGGCGGCUCUCUGGGACGGUACUGACGCUGAGACGCGAAAGCGUGGGGAGCGAACAGG